GAUGAACGCUGGCGGCGUGCUUAACACAUGCAAGUCGAACGAAGCAUUUAAGACAGAUUACUUCGGUUUGAAGUCUUUUAUGACUGAGUGGCGGACGGGUGAGUAACGCGUGGGUAACCUGCCUCAUACAGGGGGAUAGCAGCUGGAAACGGCUGGUAAUACCGCAUAAGCGCCCAGUACCACAUGGUACAGUGUGAAAAACUCCGGUGGUAUGAGAUGGACCCGCGUCUGAUUAGCUUGAUGGCGGGGUAACGGCCCACCAAGGCGACGAUCAGUAGCCGACCUGAGAGGGUGACCGGCCACAUUGGGACUGAGACACGGCCCAGACUCCUACGGGAGGCAGCAGUGGGGAAUAUUGCACAAUGGAGGAAACUCUGAUGCAGCGACGCCGCGUGAGUGAAGAAGUAGUUCGAGAUGUAAAGCUCUAUCAGCAGGGAAGAUAGUGACGGUACCUGACUAAGAAGCUCCGGCUAAAUACGUG
rnacentral:rRNA from 1 species